rnacentral:rRNA from 1 species
AGUGAACGCUGGCGGUAGGCCUAACACAUGCAAGUCGAACGGCAGCACAGUAAGAGCUUGCUCUUACGGGUGGCGAGUGGCGGACGGGUGAGGAAUACAUCGGAAUCUACUUUUUCGUGGGGGAUAACGUAGGGAAACUUACGCUAAUACCGCAUACGACCUACGGGUGAAAGCAGGGGAUCUUCGGACCUUGCGCGAUUGAAUGAGCCGAUGUCGGAUUAGCUAGUUGGCGGGGUAAAGGCCCACCAAGGCGACGAUCCGUAGCUGGUCUGAGAGGAUGAUCAGCAACACUGGAACUGAGACACGGUCCAGACUCCUACGGGAGGCAGCAGUGGGGAAUAUUGGACAAUGGGCGCAAGCCUGAUCCAGCCAUACCGCGUGGGUGAAGAAGGCCUUCGGGUUGUAAAGCCCUUUUGUCGGGAAAGAAAAGCAGCAGGUUAAUACCCCGCUGUUCUGACGGUACCCAAAGAAUAAGCACCGGCUAACUUCGUG